rnacentral:rRNA from 1 species
UCCCUCGGGAUGUAAACUUCGCAAGAACGGGAAGAAUAAGUAGGGGACAAUACCCCCUAUGAUGACGGUACCGUUUGUAAGCUCCGGCUAACUCCGUGCCAGCAGCCGCGGUAAUACGGGGGGAGCAAGCGUUGUUCGGAUUUACUGGGCGUAAAGGGCGCGUAGGCGGCCAGCACAAGUCAGUUGUGAAAUCUCCGAGCUUAACUCGGAAAGGUCAACUGAUACUGUGCGGCUAGAGUGCGGAAGGGGCAACUGGAAUUCUUGGUGUAGCGGUGAAAUGCGUAGAUAUCAAGAGGAACACCUGCGGCGAAGGCGGGUUGCUGGGCNGACACUGACGCUGAGGCGCGAAAGCUAGGGGAGCGAACGGGAUUAGAUACCCCGGUAGUCCUAGCCUUAAACGAUGAAUGCUUGGUGUCUGGGGUUAUAAAGUCCCCGGGUGCCGUCGCUAACGCUUUAAGCAUUCCGCCUGGGGAGUACGGUCGCAAGACUGAAACUCAAAGG